AAACCAUGAUUUGGACAUUUCUGUAGCAUGGAUUUAUAACUUUCCCAAGCUUCACAUAAAGUUUCAUUUGUGGAUUGAGCAAAUGCGGAAAUAGCUGUUUUAGCAU